rnacentral:misc_RNA from 1 species
UGUUUGUGCUCAAGAAGGGUCA